rnacentral:rRNA from 1 species
GUUAGCGGCGGACGGGUGAGUAACACGUAGGCAACCUGCCUGUAAGAUCGGGAUAACUACCGGAAACGGUAGCUAAGACCGGAUAGGUGGUUUCUUCGCAUGAAGGGAUCAAGAAACACGGGGCAACCUGUGGCUUACAGAUGGGCCUGCGGCGCAUUAGCUAGUUGGUGGGGUAACGGCCCACCAAGGCGACGAUGCGUAGCCGACCUGAGAGGGUGAUCGGCCACACUGGGACUGAGACACGGCCCAGACUCCUACGGGAGGCAGCAGUAGGGAAUCUUCCGCAAUGGACGCAAGUCUGACGGAGCAACGCCGCGUGAGUGAUGAAGGUUUUCGGAUCGUAAAGCUCUGUUGCCAAGGAAGAACGCCUCGGAGAGUAACUGCUCCGGGGGUGACGGUACUUGAGAAGAAAGCCCCGGCUAACUACGUGCCAGCAGCCGCGGUAAUACGUAGGGGGCAAGCGUUGUCCGGAAUUAUUGGGCGUAAAGCGCGCGCAGGCGGCCGCUUAAGUUUGGUGUUUAAGCCCGGGGCUCAACCCCGGUUCGCACCGAAAACUGGGCGGCUUGAGUGCAGGAGAGGAAAGCGGAAUUCCACGUGUAGCGGUGAAAUGCGUAGAGAUGUGGAGGAACACCAGUGGCGAA